rnacentral:misc_RNA from 1 species
AACGCACAUUGCGCCCCCUGGUAUCCCGGGGGGCAUGCCUGUUCGAGCGUCAUUACAACCACUCAAGCCUUGGCUUGGUCUUGGGGCGCGCGGUCUCGCGGCCCCUAAAGCCAGUGGCGGUGCCCGUCGGCUCUACGCGUAGUACAUACCCCUCGCGACUGAGCCCGGCCGGGCCACCUGCCAGCAACCCCCUACUUUCACAGGUUGACCUCGGAUCAGGUAGGGAUACCCGCUGAACUUAA